rnacentral:rRNA from 1 species
GAUGAACGCUGGCGGCGUGCCUAAUACAUGCAAGUCGAGCGAACAGACGAGGAGCUUGCUCCUCUGACGUUAGCGGCGGACGGGUGAGUAACACGUGGAUAACCUACCUAUAAGACUGGGAUAACUUCGGGAAACCGGAGCUAAUACCGGAUAAUAUAUUGAACCGCAUGGUUCAAUAGUGAAAGACGGUUUUGCUGUCACUUAUAGAUGGAUCCGCGCCGCAUUAGCUAGUUGGUAAGGUAACGGCUUACCAAGGCAACGAUGCGUAGCCGAACUGAGAGGGGGAUAGGCCACAAUGGAAGUGAGACAGCGUCCAGACUCCUACGGGAGGCAGCAGUAGGGAAUCUGCCGCAAUGGGCGAAAGCCUGACGGAGCAACGCCGCGUGAGUGAUGAAGGUCUUCGGAUCGUAAAACUCUGUUAUUAGGGAAGAACAAAUGUGUAAGUAACUAUGCACGUCUUGACGGUACCUAAUCAGAAAGCCACGGCUAACUACGUG